UACGAGAGGCCCAAACGUUAUUCGGAUUUACUGGGCUUAAAGAGUUCGUAGGCGGCGCAGAAAGUAGGGUGUGAAAGCCCUCGGCUCAACCGAGGAAUUGCGCCCUAAACUACUGUGCUUGAGGAACCUAGAGGUGAGCAGAACUGAUGGUGGAGCGGUGAAAUGUGUUGAUAUCAUCAGGAACACCGGUGGCGAAGGCGGCUCACUGGGCCUUUACUGACGCUGAGGCACGAAAGCUAGGGGAGCAAACGGG
rnacentral:rRNA from 1 species